rnacentral:lncRNA from 1 species
GGGUUGCUGCCCCUGAAUUGGUAAUUUUAAGGAAAUUUUGCUGUUUUUGUUAUUCUCUUGAAUAUUUUUAUAGAUAGAGAUAAACUGUAAACAGCAAUAAUGUACAGCAAAUUAAGACCUAAAAUUAAGUCAACAUGACCAAAAUGGUCAAUUGACCCCCUAAGGAGUUAUUGUCCUUUAUAGUCAAUUUUUAACAAUUUUCAUAAAAUUUGUAAAAUUUUACUAACAUUUUCCACUGAAACUACUGGGCCAAGUUCAUUAUAAAUAGAGAUAAUUGUAAGCAGCAAGAAUGUUCAGUAAAGUAAGAUGUACAAACACAUCACCAUCACCAAAACGCAAUUUUGUCAUGAAUCCAUCUGCUUCCUUUGUUUAAUAUUCACAUAGACCAGGGUGAGCGACACAGGCUCUUUAGAGCCUCUAGUUAAUUUACUGUUU